ensembl:lncRNA
AAGUCAUUGUGGUAACAAUCCAAAAGUUUAGCCAUUAUUUAACUGUGAACGUGCAGCAUGCUUAACCCAAGAAAAUGCCAGUAUUGAGUGACUUUUUGAACCCUAGAAGUUUUAAGUUCUCUUUGAUGUUCAUGUGCACUGCUAAGUGGUAUGACACCUUAACUCAGAGACACACCACAAAUGAGUGAGUGUGUUGCAUGCCAUGAUUUUAAAUCCCAGUAUGGUCACAAAUUCAAGGGUUUACACUGAUCAUUACUCGUUUAGUAAAACCAUGACUGCACGACUUACAAACAGCUGGCAGUGAGUGGGUGGCAUUCACCUAGAAGUACUAAACCACAAACAACAUGUUAUCUAAUCAUUUAUGAUCUUGCUAACUGGCAUUGCGUGUGCAAAGAGUCAUAAAUACUAUGAUUCUUACAGUAAAAAAUACAUGUGUACCAACUCUCAGGUCUCAACAUUUGGUGAUACAUCUCCUCCUAUGAGAUAAGGACCGCAAUCUCAAAUAGGCCAGUAACUCACUCGGGUAGAGUUUGUUUUGCACUGUUUCUUAUGUGGGUUUUUUAAUUGCUUUUUUUAGUUUGCUGUAAUGGAAUGAUAGAAAAAUCAUACCCUCCUUCUGUUUUGUGUCAUUUUUCUGUGAUAUCUUAUAGACCACUAAGCUAGUGUGUAGUGAUGCAAGGAUGUCGGGCACUCAAAUGCAGAGGGUCGUUUGCAAGUAUAAUGUUACCCAUAUCUGAUGAGCAGAGAGUAAACUUGAGUCCGUGAGCUCCUCUCAUCAUCACUAAAGAUGAUAAUUCAUAAAAGAAGUGGUUUAUUUAAAAGAAGAAGAAGAAAGAAAGAAAGAAAGAGGAAAAAUAGCAUUCAGUUCCCCCCAAAAAGCAACUCUCCUGCAAAAAAUGCUUUGAGAUGAGUUUUUGUUUUGAUGCUGUGGUUUCUGUGGCUUCUUCUUACAAAGCUGAAACUUUAAAGCCUGGUGCAAAAAAAGCAAAAAAAAAAACAAAAAACAUUCCACUGCGGCUAAACCACAGUUCAAAUGAAAGCAUGAAAGGUGAAGCCUGACUUCCCAACUCCAGGCGGAUUUAUUAGAAAUGCCUCGCCUUCUCUCUGAGCAGCACCAUCUACUGGCCAGAGGACAAAAAUGCAAAGCAUCUGCUUCUCUCAAGUCACGUGAUUUAAGAGAAAUCGAGCCUCCAGUUUAGAGCAGGUCACAUUGAGGCUGACACAGACCAUGAAAAGGGCUUGACUCAGCAGGUGCUUUUUUUUUUUAUUGCAUUGGGUGUUCGUCCACUUUUAUUUCGCUUAUCUGACCAUUUAUAUGAAUUAUCCAGUGCAUAUUUUCAACUUUUAGCUCUGGAAUUACUUGACAUCUGUCACAGAUGGCAGUUUUGGGUUCAGUUAUUGGGGUUUGUUUAAUCACAUAUGUGUAACUGCAUGUGUAGAGGUUCUCUUGCAGCACACCCAGAAAUAAAAAGUUGUACUUGCCAUUAAUUUGCUAUGCUUUCAGAGUAUGAUAAAGUGUAUUUCUUUAAUGUCACGCUACUGUUGGCUGACAUUAAGGAAAUACAUAUUUUAAAAAAUAUAUUUGGAGGGAUUAACUCACAGUUCAUCCAGGACAAAGAAUAACACAUAUGUCUGCUAUGUCCAAACAAACAAAACUAUGAGGUUUGUUUUUUAAACCUUCAUGUUUAUCUUUAACCCUGUUUGCUGUCUUUGUUGUUGCUGUUUUGGCUUCAUAGCAACAACUUUGUUCACCUGUGGCCACACCCACAGCAGAUGGCACGGCAGCACAAAGACAUUUAGAAUGAUGGGUGAUUUCGGGUAAAUGGGAUAUUUA